CUAUCAACUAGUUGGUGAGGUAGUGGCUCACCAAGGUGUUAACGGGUAACGGGGGAUCAGGGUUCGAUUCCGGAGAGGGAGCCUGAGAAACGGCUACCACAUCUAAGGAAGGCAGCAGGCGCGCAAAUUACCCAAUCCAGACUUUGGGAGGUAGUGACGAGAAAUACCGGAGUAGACCGUAUAUUGGUUCACUAUCGGAAUGAACGUAAUUUAAUACCUUCGAUGAGUAGCUACUGGAGGGCAAGUCUGGUGCCAGCAGCCGCGGUAAUUCCAGCUCCAGUAGUGUAUAUCAAAAUUGUUGCGGUUAAAACGCUCGUAGUUGGAUUACAAAAGCUCUCUGGCGGCCAAAUCUAGGUUUGGUCGCCGUGGGGUUUUUUUAUCGCGAGAGCCGCAUGUGGGAUUAACUUCUUGUGUGCGGUCACUUGCGAGGUGUGCCUUGAAUAAAGCACAGUGCUCAAAGCAGGCGAUAGCUCGAAUGUUAUAGCAUGGAACGAUUAUGUUGAUCUUGUCGACUGUUGGUUGUUGACAUUGGUCUCGAUUAAAAGGGACAUUUGAGGGCGUUAGUACUUGGUGGCGAGGGGUGAAAUCCUUAGACCCAUCAAAGACUAACUAAUGCGAAAGCAUUCGCCAAGAGUGUUUUCAUUAAUCAAGAACGAAAGUAGGAGGUUCGAAGACGAUCAGAUACCGUCCUAGUUCCUUACAGUAAACUAUGCCAACAUGGGAUUAGCCCGGUUUAAACCAGGUUGGGCCCUCAGUGAAAAUAAGUGUUUCGGUUCUGGGGAGAGUGCGUACGCAAGUGCCAAAUUUAAAGAAAUUGACGGAAUGGCACCACCAGGAGUGGAGCCUGCGGCUUAAUUUGAUUCAACACGGGGAAACUCACCAGGUCCAGACAUUGGUAGGAUUGACAGACUGAGAGAUCUUUCAUGAUUUGAUGAUUGGUGGUGCAUGGCCGUUCUUAGUUGGUGGAGUGAUCUGUCAGGUUUAUUCCGGUAACGAGCGAGACCACGAUCUUUAAUUGAUUACGGUUAAAUUGUCUUGACCGAUCUUAAAGAGACCACCGGAGUGAAGCCGGGGGAAGCGUGGCAAUAACAGGUCUGUGAUGCCCUUCGAUGUUCUGGGCUGCACGUGUGCUACAAUGAUAGUGACAACAAGUUCCUGCUCUGAGAGGAGUGGGGAAUCUUGAAAAUCGCUGUCUUGCUUUGGACUGAGCCUUGUAAUAAUUGCUCACGAAAGAGGAAUUCCUCGUAAGCGCGAGUCAUCAGCUCGUGUUGAAUACGUCUCUGCCCUUUGUACACACCGCCCGUCGCUACUACC
rnacentral:rRNA from 1 species